AAACCAUUAAACUAUGUUUGAAAUUCGAAUUAAUUGAGGAGUUAUGGUCAAAUUUGUGGGAGAAUUGCUCGAGUGAAAAAGCGUUCGUGGAAGCAUUGGGAGAUGCUAUCGUGCGCGGAGAGUUUUCUACGGUUCCGCCCUCACCUGACUACACACAAGCGCUGAUAGAGAGGCUGGCGGAGUUGGAG